rnacentral:rRNA from 1 species
GACGAACGCUGGCGGCGUGCCUAAUACAUGCAAGUAGAACGCUGAAGAGAGGAGCUUGCUCUUCUUGCGUGAGUGGCGAACGGGUGAGUAACGCGUGGGUAACCUGCCUUGUAGCGGGGGAUAACUAUUGGAAACGAUAGCUAAUACCGCAUAACAAUUGAUGACACAUGGCACUUAAUUGAAAGGGGCAAUUGCUGCACUACAAGAAGGACCUGCGUUGUAUUAGCUAGUAGGUGAGGUAAUGGCUCACCUAGGCGAAGAUACAUAACCGGACUGAGAGGGUGAUCGGCCCACAUUGGACUGGGAACCCGCCCAGGCCCCCUAGGGGAGCCACCAGUAGGGAUCCUCCGGCAUGGGGGCAAACCUUACCGGGGCACGCCGCGGUGGUGAAUGAGGGUUUCGGGUCGUUAAGCUCUGGUGUAUGUCGAGAAAGGAUGUGGGAGGUGAAUAUGCACACUGUGACGGUAGCUUACCAGAAAGCGACGGCUAACUACGUG